GGGCCCGCACAAGCGGUGGAGCAUGUGGUUUAAUUCGAUGAUACGCGAGGAACCUUACCAGGGCUUAAAUGGGAAAUGACAGGGGCAGAGACGCCCCCUUCUUCGGACAUUUUUCAAGGUGCUGCAUGGUUGUCGUCAGCUCGUGCCGUGAGGUGUCAGGUUAAGUCCCAUAACGAGCGCAACCCCUAUCUUUAGUUGCCAGCGGUUCGGCCGGGGACUCUAAAGAAACUGCCCGCGCAAGCGGUGAGGAAGGUGGGGAUGACGUCAAAUCAUCACGGCCCUUACGUCCUGGGCCACACACGUGCUACAAUGGCCGGUACAGAGAGCAGCCACUACGCGAGUAGGAGCGAAUCUACAAAACCGGUCUCAGUUCGGAUCGCAGUCUGCAACUCGACUGCGUG
rnacentral:rRNA from 1 species